rnacentral:rRNA from 1 species
GGGAAUUUUCCGCAAUGGGCGAAGGCCUGACGGAGCAAUGCCGCGUGGAGGUGGAAGGCCUACGGGUCGUCAACUUCUUUUCUCGGAGAAGAAACAAUGACGGUAUCUGAGGAAUAAGCAUCGGCUAACCCUGUGACAG